UCGUGCUAGAUGGGGAGCUAGCGGUGCCCUGUAACCUGCAAUCCGCUACAGCAGGAUUGAAUUCCUUCUUUAGGCUUUAGGCUGUUAGGACAGUCUUACUCAAGUGGUGUUGAGAAUUGGGUCCCAUGCAACAGAAGUUCAUAAACUCCGUCAGAUCCGGAAGGAAGCAGCGGUAAGUGAAUCCUUUUGUGUGCCGUGGAGCAACCUGAUUUGAGCUAACUAGGUAAGAAACGCUGGUAGAUUAUUGCCGACAGAAGGUGCACGA
rnacentral:SRP_RNA from 1 species